UGCUGAGAGAAGUAGCAGUUACUUUAUUCUAUAAGUAACUGCAACAGCUCUCAGUAUU
rnacentral:pre_miRNA from 1 species